UACGAAGGGGGCGAGCGUUGUUCGGAUUUACUGGGCGUAAAGGGCGCGCAGGCGGCUCAUUUUGUCAGGCGUGAAAGCCCCGGGCUUAACCUGGGAACUGCGUUUGAUACGGAUGGGCUAGAGUUCGGGAGAGGAGAGUGGAAUUCCCAGUGUAGAGGUGAAAUUCGUAGGUAUUGGGAAGAACACCGGUGGCGAAGGCGGCUCUCUGGACCGAGACUGACGCUGAGGCGCGAAAGCGUGGGGAGCAAACAGG
rnacentral:rRNA from 1 species